rnacentral:snoRNA from 1 species
AACAACCAAAAAAUCAGGGAUCAUUUCUAUAGUUCGUUACUAGAGAAGUUUCUCUGACUGUGUAGAACACUGGAAAUCAUGAGGAGGAGGUGCAGCGUUCUCUCCUGAGCAUGAAGCCGGCUCUUGGUGUUGCUUUGCUGCAACUGCCAUUUGCUAUUGAUGAUCGAUCCUUCUCCUUAUGGGGAGUUGGAGGGAGAGGACACAGUCUGAGUGGC